rnacentral:rRNA from 1 species
UACGUAGGGGGCAAGCGUUGUCCGGAAUCAUUGGGCGUAAAGAGCGCGUAGGCGGUCCGGUAAGUCCGCUCUGAAAGUCCGGGGCUCAACCCCGGGAGGCGGGCGGAUACUGUCGGGCUAGAGUCCGGAAGAGGCGAGUGGAAUUCCUGGUGUAGCAGUGAAAUGCGUAGAUAUCAGGAGGAACACCGAUGGCGAAGGCAGGUCUCUGGGCUGACACUGACGCUCAUGCACGAAAGCGUGGGGAGCAAACAGG